rnacentral:tRNA from 7 species
AGGGGUAUAGUUCAAUGGUAGAACAGCGGUCUCCAAAACCGUUGAUGUGGGUUCAACUCCUGCUACCCCUGCCA